rnacentral:rRNA from 1 species
AUGCAUGUCUAAGUACAAACCUUAAUACGGUGAAACUGCGAAUGGCUCAUUAAAUCAGUUAUGGUUCCUUAGAUCGAUACACUCCUACUUGGAUAACUGUAGUAAUUCUAGAGCUAAUACAUGCAAUAAAGCUCCGACCUCGCGGGAAGAGCGCUUUUAUUAGAUCAAAACCAAUCGGCUCUCGGGCCGUACUGUUGGUGACUCUGGAUAACUUUGGGCUGAUCGCAUGGCCUCGAGCCGGCGACGUAUCUUUCAAAUGUCUGCCCUAUCAACUGUCGAUGGUAUGUGAUAUGCUUACCAUGGUUAUAACGGGUAACGGGGAAUCAGGGUUCGAUUCCGGAGAGGGAGCAUGAGAAACGGCUACCACA